GACGGAGGGAGCAAGCGUUGCUCGGAAUUACUGGGCGUAAAGGGCUAGUAGGCGGCCAGGCAAGUCCGGUGUGAAAGCCCUCGGCUCAACCGAGGAAUUGCAUCGGAAACUGCCUGGCUAGAGUCCGGGAGAGGUGAGCGGAAUUCCCAGUGUAGCGGUGAAAUGCGUAGAUAUUGGGAGGAACACCAGCGGCGAAGGCGGCUCACUGGACCGGUACUGACGCUCAGAAGCGAAAGCUAGGGGAGCGAAAGGG
rnacentral:misc_RNA from 1 species